UGUUCGCCAAACAACUACGAGUCCCACUUAAAACUUAAAAGACUUGACGGUACUUCAUCACGGCCUAGAGGAGCCUGUCUAAUAACCGACAAUCCACGAUUAACCCCACCCCUUCUCGCCUUACAGUCUAUAUACCGCCGUCGCCAGCUUACCUUGUAAAAGAGAAAAAGUGAGCUAAACAGUACUACACUAAAACGACAGGUCGAGGUGUAACCUAUGAAAGGGACUACGAUGGGCUACAUUCUUCAACCGAGAACACGAAUAGCACUAUGAAAUUAGUGCUUGAAGGCGGAUUUAGCAGUAAGAUAAGAAUAAAACACUUAACUGAACAUGACGCAAUGAAGUGCGUACACACCGCCCGUCACCCCUGUCACCAC
rnacentral:rRNA from 1 species